CCUUGAUAAAACAAUUUUGUAGAGUGUAAUAUUUCUAAGAGGAAAUGUCACAGGGGCUAUGAUGCAAGAAAGCCUCAGAAAUGACUGCAUACAGGAAAUAAUCUCAUCAUUUCCAAAGAUGUCUUCAUGUCCCAUCAAUGACAUGCUACCAGACAUAUCAGAUUCCACAGGAUAAUGGCACCAAGCUACCCAAGUAGAUGUUUCUGGUAUUCUAGACUGCCGUUCAUGCUUGUUUCCUAAAGUAUACUUAAAAGUUUCAAAUACAGUUUCACUUAGAAACUGCAACCCUCCAAGUAAUGUUAUGUUUACUUAGGUAUUAAUGUUAUGUUUACUUAGGUAUGUAUCAGAGGCAAUAAUUUCCAAAGCAGAUCUUAGAAUAUAACCAAUUUGUUAGAUAACUUUAUCUCUAUCACAUCUGUUUACAAGCAAAGUAUUACUUUGUCUGGACUUAUUUCAUCUUCAGUGUCUGGGAUCGUGGGCAACAGAGCAGAUCGCGUUAAGCCCCAAAAUUUUUGAGGUGACAUGUCUUUUUUGGUGGCCGUAAACUUCCAUCCAAUAUGGCUUGCACAGAUCUUACACUGGGCAACAGUCCAGGCAUACCUAAGAAAUUAAGGAAAGAUAUCAGCUAAGGAAACAUUUCUGUACUCCAAGCCUAUCAUAUAAACCUAUCAUGAAGACAGACUUUAGAGGCAAAUUCUAAGGAUUAGAGAUUCUAAGUUGAGAUUUGAUCCAUACAGUUCCCUGAAACCUAAAAACAUUUCUAAAAACAUUUUCUAAUUUUGUAAUAUGUAUGACUUUUAUGCUCUUAAGCCAUGUUUACAUUUUUCUUCUACUGCAUAGAAAUAAAGAGUAAUCUUAAGAAUUUCUUUAUAGAAAUUGCUGGUUGCCAAGACCACAUUCUAACUUGUACUGGCACCACAUUCUAACUUGUACUGGCUUUUCCUUUGUUGUAUUGCAGUCAAGUUAGAAAACAGCAAUUACCUGCAGAAAUAAUGCACUUCUGUCUGAGUUAAACUGGAUGGGCCAGGAAGGACACGUCUCAAAAAGUAAAUAUUUAUAUUCUAAAAUAAGAACGAUUGUCAGAUAAUGCAACCAGAAAUACAAACCAUGGUAUUUUGUUCUUAAGAUAAACCAUGUAAUUGCAACUGUUUCCUUAUUUUUUUCCCUAGGUAUACCAUGCCACAUUUAUUUAUAGUAACAAAUGUAUUCUAGUUUUAGUCCUCACAUAGGGUGCCAAGUAAGAUAGGGCAAUCCAAGAUACAUAGUCCUAACCCCAGAGUAGCAUGUAAUCCCUUCUUAGCAUCCCUCUUUGAAAACUGAAGAUAGUACAGCUGAGGGAACUGAACAGGUUCCCAGGAUCAUAGAGAAUCAUUAAGCUGAAGCAAACAAACAAAAGGCAAACUAGAAGAAAAGCAGGAUUCAAUGGGUUCUGCACCUUCUUAGUCUAUCAUUGCUUUGUAAACAUUCUCCGGUUUUACAUUACUACAGAAUAUGGUCCAGAUAUAAAGUUCUACUGGGUCAUAAGACAGCUGAUUUUCAGAAUUACAUGACUGACAGAAAAAAACAAUUUUGGAUUUAACUGGAUACAGUAAUCUGAGGACAACUGCAGUUGUCAACCUUUUCUUCCUUUCAUUCAAUGAUAAAAGAUACAAAAAGUGCAACAGAUGUUUCUAGCUAUUUGUGGAAUGAAGGACAUUUAAAUAAAUUUUUUUUUUUUUUUAAAUAGACAGAUUCUCACUCUGUCACCCAGGCUGGACUGCAGUGGCACAAUCUUGGCUCACUGCAACACUCUUGCCUUCCAGGUUCAAGAGAUUCUUGUGCCUCAGCAUCCCGAGCAGCUGGGAGUACAGACCCCUGCCCCCAUACCCGGCUAAUUUUUGUAGCAAAUUACUCAUUUGUCUGUCUACUUUUUAUUAUAAAGAUUGUGGCAACUCUGCUUAGGACUCUGGAUUUUUCUGCCCAAUUAAGGUAAAAAAAGAAAAAAAAAAGCAACCACCACCAUAAUAUUACCCAGGAAACCAGCUGUGUUCUGUAGAAGGCCGGCCUAUCAGAUUCAAGUUGCAAGCCUUAUACACAGUAAGUGUCUCAUGCACAUAUCCAUGAGGAUUCACAUAAGCUGCCAUCGGCCCACAUAAGGAUAAACUAAAACAAAGAAUCAACAUGGAGAACACGUCAAAACGAGAAGUCUAAUUUUAUUAAAUGCUUAGAAUUUUAUUGAAGUUCACCAAGAAAUGAGGUAUGAGCUAUACAGUUUUUAAUCCUUCAGUUUUAUAUAAUACCAGGAUCUUAGUAUGAAAAUGGGGUGGGGGUACAGCUGGCAGACAGGCCUGUUUUGUCUAAAUGUCUAAAUGUUUUCUGUGAUGACCCAAAGGAAAUAGUACUUGUUUUUAAAACCCUCCUCAAGACAGACAUUGUAAAGAAUAUAAAACUCAAAUGCUUCUAAAGGAGUCUGAGAGUGUAAGUGCAAUGACAAGGUCCUGUGUGGUCAUUUUGGGGCAGUUGAUUAUUUUGCAGAAAGCAGUUUCCUUACCUUCUUGAUUUACAACUGAUGGAUUUGUCAUAAAAUGAUUUUCAAACACUGUUAUAUCAGAGCAUCAGUAUGUGUUCAGAAGCAUGUCCUACUUUGGCCCUAUAUGGCAAAACUGAUGACUGAAAUGUAAUUUCUGAAGCAUCUAUGUUAGGGCCUAAUUGAAGACAGUCUAAUAUAUAGAUUGUCAACAAGAAUUAGGGGGAAAAGAAUUUCUCAGUUGUUUUACUUUACCAUGCUCAUUACCUGUGAAUAAUCCCUGACAUGCAUUGUUGCUCUGAGUACCCAAUCUGGAAGAUGGUCUUAGCAAAAGUGAGCUAAUUCCCUAUAUUUCAUUUGCUAAAUGUUUGUAACUUUAAGGUACUGGAGGAAAGUUUAUGGAAAACAGAAAUACAGUCUUCAUUAUAAUUCUGAUAAGGCAAGUAUAUUAAAAACGUAAUAAAGACCUUACCUGAAUAUUUCAUUUUUGGUUGUUAUUUCUGUUUCUUGACAUUGUUUACAGCAAAGGGAAGUACACUAAAAGAUUUGAGAGAAAAAUUAUUGGUAGGAAAAACUGGCAUUCACUUUAUCAUGUAAUCACAUAGAUCAUCAAGAAACUUACUUAUAAAGAUAUUGCUCUCUCUGAAUAUCACAUUUUCCUUCCAAGCAUUCAAAAACACUUUUAAAGAUGGAGCACGAAAGUCACUGAAACUGAGAUCUGCCACAUAUUUACAUAAAACUAAAUGACCUUCUCUAGAGUAAAGGAAUAGUGAUAUAUAACCUUGGAUAUUUCCAUGCAGAAAUCAAGUUAUUUUUCACUAAGUUGAUAAAUGUAUUCAUAUUUGACAAACACAAAACAAUGAGUUUGUUUGUAAGAUCCCAAUUGAAAUCUGAAUUGCAUGACUACAUUACUGGACUCUAUACAGAGCUCCAUUGGCCCCAACAGAGCAUCCUAGUUCUCCAGCCUGAAUAAAACAUGGGCAUCAAAAACAUAUUCACUUUACUCACUUUAUUCAUAAUGUCUAAUUCACAGCGAAGUCGCUGGAUAGCACUGCCAAUUUUAAGGAGCUGAAUUCUCAAUACAUCAUCAAUAGGAAGACAAGCAGCUACUCUGUAAGAAAAAUCUUCAAGACAUGGUUUUUCAAGUUUUAAACUUAGGAGUCAGAUAAGCAUCAGAGAACUUACAAAUCGGAUAAUAUCCUUUUGAAAUAAACCCUUCUCUUUAAGGUUACACAUUUU
rnacentral:lncRNA from 10 species